GGUAAGGGUGAAAGGGUGCGGUAAGAGCGCACCGGCGGGGCAGGUGACUGUCCCGGCCAGGUAAACCCCACCGGGAGCAAGGCAUCAUGGCCUGCCACGUCGCAGGCCGGAUCGGACGUUUGAGGGCUGCUCGCCCGAGUCCGAAGGUAGCUGCUUGAGGCGGUCAGCGAUGACCUGCCCAGAUGGAUGAUCACCGCCCCUUCACGGGGUACAGAAUCCGGCUUACAGGCCGACUCAUUCG
rnacentral:RNase_P_RNA from 1 species